CGGGUCGGGUCCGAGCCUCACCUUUCUCAGCCUCAGUUUCGCCAGCUGCGUGCUCCUGUAUUGAGCACUGAUCUUUAGCAGUGGUGCGGCUUCAGGAAGGAGGUUGUGGACACUCAGGAGGUGGAACCUGGAUGGAUUCUGAAGUAGGUCUCUUGACAUACAACUUUAAGGGGAAUUUGAGAACUUGGCUAUGAGUGCCAUCUUCGGAAUUCUGACCUUUCAGAGCCCAGAGAUAACUACAGGCUGGGGACCUAACUUUGUUAGGUAGCUUGAAGACCCACCCAAAAUAUUGUGGAAGGAGGGCAUUGAAUAUGCAGGUUACUCUUAGAUCAAACAGAAGCCCCAAAUCCUAGGGGUCCUUGAUGGAGGUGAGACAGAUGGUCAGUGGGGCAGAAAGUGGAACCAACAGGAAAGCCUGCAUUCCACAGCAGCAAUGGCCUUGGAGUUGACAUCUUCAUUUGACAAACAUGGCGAAAUUCUGACUUUGAGCAAGGUUAUUGGAUACGCAGGAUGACAUUGUCCUUCAGAGAGGAGAAUAUAUGGCUCAAGCUGUGGAUGUGGGGGUCAGCAAGAUGGCUCAACAGAUAAAGCUUGAUGACCCGACUUCAAGCCCCGGGCAUCCACAUGGUAGAAGGAAAGAGCUGACUCCCGAAGGUUUUCCUCUGACCACCACACACCUGCUGUGGCACGCCUGUCUCCCUGAAUGAGUGGAAGAAAAGCCAGCAGACCAUCAGUAUCUCUAUUUUCCACUGCGUGGCCUGCUAUGAUAUGAGCUUGUCUGCUCUGCCACACACUACCCACCAUGAUGGACAGAACCCACUGAAGUCACGAAUGAAGUAGCUAACACCUGACAUGGGAUGCAGCCAGGGGUCCCUUAUCGAAUAUUGCUCCGUGCUGUCUGGACCUUCUAGCCAUCAGAAUCAUGGGUCAGGAAAGAGGAUGACUUUCCAUGGAUAUCAAUCAGCCCUGGCAUAUCAAGUUGCAGUAAGACUAGACUUAUUCUCUCCUACCGACACUCAAUGAGGCAAUCCAGGAGGAAGAAAGGACCCAGGACAAGACACAGAACAUACUGUUCCAAGCCACGGAGUGGAGAAAGGUUUCUCAGUGUCUGCCCAGCAGACUGGCAG
rnacentral:lncRNA from 1 species